UAGCUGGCUAGAAUAUACACACAGUUCUAUGUUAAGUAGCACACUGAACCAGUUCACAAUGUAAACUAACAGUGAAGUUCACAGGGGCUGACAUUUCAACUGCAUCCAUAUGUGGGCCUGUCAUGCAUGUAUGACAUGGAGACAUUCAUAACAGAAAAUUUAUAUACACAGAGACAAAUAAACUGUGCUUAAGGACAUCAGAAAUGUUAAGAAGUAUCUACUUACGGGAUCCAGCCACAUGAGAUAUUCCCAGCACUGCUGGGAUCUGUGCCACAAUCUUUAGUGUGCUGUACGUAGAGUUGCCAUGCAUCAUAAAGUUCCUUUGCUAUGAAGAAAACCCAGCUACUUUGUGGAAUAUUAAUAGGUUAUCAGGGGUAUGGAUGCUGUUAGCUGUUCUUAGGAUCAAGGCCUAUUACAACAGUCCUACCCAUUAGAUGGCAGGACUUCCUGAAUUCUCAGUGCAACAAGGAAAUAAUUCCAAAUACCCCUGCCACCAAUUCUGAGAGGAAAAAAAGAGCAUUUUACUGCUACUGCAUUUGUUUUAUCAACAAUAUUCAGAACCAGAAAUUGAGGCAAUUCAUAUUACUAAAAAUUCUAACCACCUUAAUGUUUCUUAUAGAAUGCUACUGCUUGCAGUAUUAUCGGUGAUAUGAAAUGUAGCUUCUGUCUCAAGAAUCUUGUUAUAGUAAGGCCUCAAUUUGACAAACUCCUUGGACAGGCAGGCCAGAAGAGUAGAGAGGGGUGGGGGAAUAAUAUUAUGGAAUUUUAUCUGUCUAUAACUUAUAUUCAGGGGCUUAAAAGCUCUCCUACAGUCUCUGCUAGGUUCUAUCAUAAGAUAUAAUGUUUCUUCCAUACAGCCAGCCCAAGACAGAGGCUAUAAUUUCAACAAUAAGAAUCUGCAUGUAAUAAAAUUAAAACAUAUGGGCCCCCUGAAUUCUGGAGGUGUACAAUAUUGUAGCAGAUUUGAUCAAUGCGUUGCCAGCAACAACUCUGUAAACACAGUCCAAUAUUCAACAAGAGAGGAAGCCGUGUUUUCUGUGUUCACAGUGACAUCACACAACAGUAGGUAGUGAUCACGUGACAUGUGUUUCCUAUGAUGCAUGUCUGCUCCGUGGCUAUAUAAGUAAGAGUCCAGAAGGGUUCAGAGCAUUUACAAGUUACAAGUGAGUAGUAGCGGCAGAAGCAUGCAACAAGAGGAUAGCAGUAAGCUUGAGGACUGCAGAAGAAUACAAGAAGUCAGGCUGUGAAGAUUUAACAUGUGAUUUGAAGAC